rnacentral:rRNA from 1 species
UACCAGCACCCCGAAUGGUCGGGACGAUUAUUGGGCCUAAAGCAUCCGUAGCCGGUUCUACAAGUCUUCCGUUAAAUCCACCUGCUUAACAGAUGGGCUGCGGAGGAUACUAUAGAGCUAGGAGGCGGGAGAGGCAAGCGGUACUUAGUGGGUAGGGGUAAAAUCCGUUGAUCCAUUGAAGACCACCAGUGGCGAAGGCGGCUUGCCAGAACGCACUCGACGGUGAGGGAUGAAAGCUGGGGGAGCAAACCGG